CGGGCAGUAGCUCGGUGCGAGAGCUCCCGCCUCUUACGCGGGAAGACGUGGGUUCGAUUCCCGGUUCCUUAA
rnacentral:tRNA from 1 species